rnacentral:tRNA from 1 species
CGGGGAUUAGCUCAGCUGGGAGAGCACCUCCCUUACAAGGAGGGGGUCGGCGGUUCGAUCCCGUCAUCACCCACCA